AUAAAAACAGUGAAGAGGAAAAGUAGAUUUAUGAAGCUUGCAGAGAGCUAUGGUUUGGUGGGACAUAGUAGUGAAUUAAAUUGAAAUACACCUUAGAGUUGCAAGGCUGAACAAUUAUAAUAAUUGAGAUUAAUUAAGUAAGUUUUGUCGGAGUGCCUCCGUUAUCAUGGGCUAGGAUAUGUUAGUAUCCGAAUGAGUGGCUAAAAAAGCAAAUUGGGUGGUACCACGGGUUAUAACAGCUCGUCCCUAUA
rfam:Megamonas hypermegale ART12/1 draft genome.